AAAUUGAAGAGUUUGAUCAUGGCUCAGAUUGAACGCUGGCGGCAGGCCUAACACAUGCAAGUCGAACGGUAACAGGAAGCAGCUUGCUGCUUCGCUGACGAGUGGCGGACGGGUGAGUAAUGUCUGGGAAACUGCCUGAUGGAGGGGGAUAACUACUGGAAACGGUAGCUAAUACCGCAUAAUGUCGCAAGACCAAAGAGGGGGACCUUCGGGCCUCUUGCCAUCGGAUGUGCCCAGAUGGGAUUAGC
rnacentral:rRNA from 2 species